ensembl:lncRNA
CUGAUUUCAGAUGCAAAAACUUCUGAGUCUGUCUGAUUAAAAUAAUUUUAUUUAUUUCUAUGUGCAUUUAUAUAUAUAUAUAUAUAUACAGUACAGACCAAAAGUUUGGAAACAUUACUAUUUUUAAUGUUUUUGAAAGAAGUUUCUUCUGCUCAUCAAGCCUGCAUUUAUUUGAUCAAAAAUACAGAAAAAAAAAUGUAAUAUUGUGAUAUAUUAUUACAAUUUAAAAUAAUUGUUUUUAAAUUUAUUAUACUUUAAAUUAUCAUUUAUUUCUGUGAUGCAAAGCUGAAUUUUUAGGAUCAUUAUCACAUGAUCCUUUAGAAAUCAUUCUAAUAUGAUGAUUCAUUAUCAAAGUUGGAAACAGUUCUGCUGCUUAAUAUUUUUUCAGAACAUGUGAUACUUUUUUAGGAUACUUUGAUGAAUAAAAAGUAAAAAAAAAAAAAAAAGAAGAAGAAGCUAUGUUUUUAAAAUAUAAAUAUUUUGUAAUAACAAUAUACACUACUGGUCAGUAAUUUGGGGUCAGUAAUUUUUUUUCUUUCUUUUUUUUAAAUAAAAUCAAUACUUUUAUUCAGCAAGGAUGUGUUAAAUUGAUAAAAAGUGAUAGUAAAGAAAAUAUAUUACUAGAAUUUUUAUUUUUAUUUUGAAUAAAUGCAGUUCUUUUUAACCUUUUAUUCAUCAAAUAUAUUAGACAGCAGAACUGUUUCCAACUUUGAUAAUGAAUCAUCAUAUUAGAAUGAUUUCUAAAUGAUCAUGUGAUAGACUGGAUGUUACAUGUGACACUGAAGGCUGGAGUAAUGAUGCUGAAAAUACAGAUUUGAUGUUCCCCGAGGCGGCGGUGGCCGCUCACGAGUUUCCCGAGUUCCCCGAGGCGGCGGGUGCCGCUCACGACUCUCCCGAGUCCCCCGAAAUGGUUGUGGGCGCCGCUCACGAGUCCCCCGAAAUCCCGGCGGCGGCGGGCGCCGCUCACGACUCUCCCGAAGUCCCCGAGGCGGCGGCGGGCGCCGCUCACGACUCUCCCGAGGCGUCGGGUGCCGCUCACGACUCUCCCGAGUCCCCCGAAACGGCGGCGUCGGGUGCCGCUCACGACUCUCCCGAGUCCCCCGAAACGUCCGUGGUGGUGGCCGCUCACGACUCUCCCGAGGCGGCGGGUGCCGCUCACGACUCUCCCGAGUCCCCCGAAAUGGUUGUGGGCGCCGCUCACGAGUCCCCCGAAAUCCCCGAGGCGGCGGGCGCCGCUCACGACUCUCCCGAAGUCCCCGAGGCGGCGGCGGGUGCCGCUCACGACUCGCAGAGGCGGCAGUGGCCGCUCGGAAAGAACCAGAGGCGAAGGUGUCCGCUCACGAUCCUGGUUUUGCCCUGGGUUCCCACUCCACCGGCUCUGCCUCAGUCCCCUGGUCCCCCUCCAGCACACGGACCUGGACCCCCUCCCCCCCCCGCAUGGCCUCUCCUCUGGGUGGGGGGCCGCUGGAACGUCUGGAAUCCGUUCCUUAGAGGGGGGGUCCUGUCAUGAGUCCGGACCCGGUGUUCCUCCUCACCACCAGAGGGCACCACUUCCAUUCUCCCGGACUCAUUACCUUCACUCUGCACACCUGGUUCACUCGGCACACCUGUUUCACCCACUCACACGCACACACCUGGUGCCUAUUGUCACGGACUAUAUAGUUUUGUCUCACCCACCACUCUGCCUGGCUGUAUUGUUUAUUGUUAAUUGUUAGUCGAAUUCCGAGGUGUAUGCGUGUUAUCUGUUUCCUUUUUGUUUUUGCCCUGUUGGCCUUUUUGUUCUCAUUAAAGUUAUAAUUUCCCUGCAUUUGGACCCAGACCCUGUUUCUUCCACGGCGCUCUUUACCGCGCCGUGACAGAAAUCUAUUAUUUUAAUUUGUAAUAAUAUUUCACAAUAUUACUGUUUUUUUUUCUGUAUUUUUGAUCAAAUAAAUGCAGGCUUGAUGAGCA